ensembl:lncRNA
GAAGGAGGGUGUCGCUAUCAGUGUUGUCUGAAGGAGGGAACGCGACUUUGUACGGCUUCCUGACAGAGGAGAAGAAAGAGGAGAAGAAAGAGGGGGAGGAAGAAGGACAAGGAUUCAUCUACUGCUGUUUUCGAACCCCGCCUCUUUCCAUACCAACCAAUCACAGCCAGUGUCUCCUUCAUCUCCACACCCAAGGAACCAAUGAGACAGCUGUAAAGUCUGACCUGCCCUGGACACGGCCACCUAGAAGUGAGUAGAGUUUGAUCCCAUGUGGCUCAGUUGGUAGGUGUAGCAGAAUGAUACACAGAAGAAAGUUAUUUUGUUUCUGGCCAUUUUGAGCCUGUCAUCGAACCCACAAAAUGCUGAUGCUCCAGAUACUCAACUAGUCUAAAGAAGGCCAGUUUUAUUGCUUCUUUAAAUCAAAACAUUAGUUUUCAGCUGCGCUAACAGAAAUACAAAAGGGUUUUCUAAUGAUCAAUUAGCCUUUUUAAAAUGAUAAACUUGGAUUAGCUAACACAACGUGCCAUUGGAACACAGGAGUGAUGGUUUCUGAUAAUGGGCCUCUGUACACCUAUGUAGAUAUUCCAUUAAAAUAAUCAGCCGUUUCCAGCUACAACAGUCAUUUACAACAUUAACAAUGUCUACACUGUAUUUCUGAUCAAUUUGAUGUUAUUUUAAUGGACAAAAAAGGUUAUAUUUACAAUGGUGUGUGUUCUUCACUGGUUGCCCUUUUCUCGUGGCAACAGGUCACAAAUCUUGCUGCUGUGAUGGCACACUGUGGUAUUUCACCCAGUAGAUAUGGGAGUUUAUCAAAAUUGGAUUUGUUUUCGAAUUCUUUGUGGGUCUGUGUAAUCUGAGGGAAAUAUGUGUCUCUAGUAUGGUCAUGCAUUGGGCAGGAGGUUAGGAAGUGCAGCUCAGUUUCCACCUCAUUUUGUGGGCAGUGAGCACAUAGCCUGUCUUCUCCUGAGAGCCAUGUCUGCCUACGGCGGCCUUUCUCAAUAGCAAGGCUAUGCUCACUGAGUCUGUACAUAGUCAAAGCUUUCCUUAAUUUUGGGUCAGUCACAGUGAUCAGGUAUUCUGCCGCUGUGUACUCUCUGUUUAGGGACAAAUUGCUCUGUUUUUUUGUUAAUUCUUUCCAAAAUAACCCUAACCCUCUCUCUGUCUCUCUCUCUCUCCUCCCCCUCCUCCCUCCUCUCUCUCUCUCUCUCUCUCUCUCUGCUCCCCCUCGCUCUCUCUCUCUCUCUCUCUGUCUCUCUCUCCUCCCCCUCUCUCUUUCUCCUUCCCCUCUCUCUCUCUCUGUCUCUCUCUCCUCCCCCUCUCUCUUUCUCCUUCCCCUCUCUCUCUCUCUCCCCCCCUCCUCCCCUCUCCCACUCUCUCUCCCCCUCUCUCUCCUCCUUUCCCCCUCUCUCUCCUCCCCCUCCCUCUCCCCGCUCUCUCUAGGUGAGUGGUUGUGUGUCUUCAGGGUGGCGUGGUUGGUCCUGGUGGUUGUGGUCAUGUUGACCGUCCUCACCACGGUCCUGGGUCUGAUCUACUGGAGGACUCGCUGCUGUCGAAAGGAGCCCAGAGUGUAUCCAGCCAGUGUGUUCCAGACCAGAGG